UACGGGGGGGGCAAGCGUUGUUCGGAAUUACUGGGCGUAAAGGGCUCGUAGGCGGCCAACUAAGUCGGACGUGAAAUCCCCAGCUCAACCUGGGGACGCCACCCGAUACUGCUAUAGCUAGAGUCCAGUAGGGGAGUGGUGGAAUUCCCAAGUGUAGCGGUGAAAUGACGCAGAUAUCAGGAGGAACACCGAUGGCGAAGGCAGGUCUCUGGGCCGAUACUGACGCUGAGGAGCGAAAGCGUGGGGAGCGAACAGG
rnacentral:rRNA from 1 species